GACGAACCGUCCAAACGUUAUUCGGAAUCACUGGGCUUACAGAGUUCGUAGGCGGUCUGGAAAGUUGGGUGUGAAAUCCCUCGGCCUAACCGAGGAACUGCGCUUGAAACUACCAGACUCGAGGGGGAUAGAGGAAAGCGGAACUGAUGGUGGAGCGGUGAAAUGCGUUGAUAUCAUCAGGAACACCGGUGGCGAAGGCGGCUUUCUGGGUCUUACCUGACGCUGAGACGCGAAAGCGUGGGGAGCGAACAGG
rnacentral:rRNA from 1 species